rnacentral:tRNA from 1 species
GGGCCUGUAGCUCAGCCUGGUAGAGCAUCGCCCUUGCAAGGCGGGGGUCCCGAGUUCAAAUCUCGGCGGGUCCA